GACGAACGCUGGCGGCGUGCUUAACACAUGCAAGUCGAACGGAAAGGCCCUGCUUUUGUGGGGUGCUCGAGUGGCGAACGGGAGAGUAACACGUGAGUAACCUGCCCUUGACUUUGGGAUAACUUCAGGAAACUGGGGCUAAUAUCGGAUAGGAGCUCCUGCUGCAUGGUGGGGGUUGGAAAGUUUAGGCGGUUGGGGAUGGACUCGCGGUUUAUCAGCUUGUUGGUGGGGUAGUGGCUAACCAAGGCUUUGACGGGUAGCCGGCCUGAGAGGGUGACCGGACACGUUGGGACUGAGAUACGGCCCAGACUCGUACGGGAGGCAGCGGUGGGGAAGAUUGCACAAUGGGCGGAAGCCUGAUGCAGCAACGCAGCGUGCGGGAUGACAGCCUUCGGGUUGUAAACCGCUUUCCCCUGUGACGAAGCGUGAGUGACGGUAAUGGGUAAAGAAGCACCGGCUAACUACGUG
rnacentral:rRNA from 1 species